AAGAGUUUACGACCUGCUAGUUAAGUCUUGCCUUAAGAACAGGUGGUGCAACCGAAUUAAGCACUGACUUAGUUACAAACUAACUAGUAUUUACUAAGCCCUUAGUGUGAACUUUAUGUCUCAACUUAAGUGAGACCUUAAACACAGCUGGUGCAACCCUAAGAGGGAGAAAUACGUCAUAAAGCGAUCCGUAUAAAUCACGAGGCGCGCGUAAGGAAGUCCUUUCUGGUCUGUUCUGUGCGUGGAACACCGACACAACAAGAAUUAGUGGAACAAAAAGAGUCCAGAUUAACGUUUUUGACAAUGAAAUAAGCGGUUAUUGGCUAAUUGUUUGUCAUUCUCGAAGUCUUAAAUGAGUACUUGUUCUAUAACUUGAAAAGAGUUUGCGUCACCACGUGGUCAGAUGACCGACUCAAAGAGUCCAUGUUGCAUUCCACUGAAUGCUGUCUGGUAAUGCAGGUCUUUUUGAGAACGUCACAGAUUACGAUUUAAACAAAGGAAAUCUGGACCUGAACAAUAACCUUGGGAAUUGGAGCCCAGUCAUCAGCCUUUUAGGUUUAACUUCCCACUGUGUGUCCUCUUAAGGUUUCCUUGCCUUUGUAUUUUGUAGGUGCAUUAGUUUAACAUUCUUAAAACCCAAUAAAAAUUAUAAUUUUAUUAA